GUAAUAGCUCACUGGUCGAGUCGGCCUGCGCGGAAGAUGUAACGGGGCUAAACCAUGCACCGAAGCUGCGGCAGCGACGCUUAUGCGUUGUUGGGUAGGGGAGCGUUCUGUAAGCCUGUGAAGGUGUGCUGUGAGGCAUGCUGGAGGUAUCAGAAGUGCGAAUGCUGACAUAAGUAACGAUAAAGCGGGUGAAAAGCCCGCUCGCCGGAAGACCAAGGGUUCCUGUCCAACGUUAAUCGGGGCAGGGUGAGUCGACCCCUAAGGCGAGGCCGAAAGGCGUAGUCGAUGGGAAACAGGUUAAUAUUCCUGUACUUGGUGUUACUGCGAAGGGGGGACGGAGAAGGCUAUGUUGGCCGGGCGACGGUUGUCCCGGUUUAAGCGUGUAGGCUGGUUUUCCAGGCAAAUCCGGAAAAUCAAGGCUGAGGCGUGAUGACGAGGCACUACGGUGCUGAAGCAACAAAUGCCCUGCUUCCAGGAAAAGCCUCUAAGCAUCAGGUAACAUCAAAUCGUACCCCAAACCGACACAGGUGGUCAGGUAGAGAAUACCAAGGCGCUUGAGAGAACUCGGGUGAAGGAACUAGGCAAAAUGGUGCCGUAACUUCGGGAGAAGGCACGCUGAUAUGUAGGUGAAGUCCCUCGCGGAUGGAGCUGAAAUCAGUCGAAGAUACCAGCUGGCUGCAACUGUUUAUUAAAAACACAGCACUGUGCAAACACGAAAGUGGACGUAUACGGUGUGACGCCUGCCCGGUGCCGGAAGGUUAAUUGAUGGG
rnacentral:rRNA from 1 species